UGUCUCCCUAGGGUACACAAAGGAGGCAUUUAUACGUGUGAUGAGGUUAGUAGUUCUUCAACUUAAUAAUAAAUAGUGAAUCCAAAAGACAGACAGUAUUGAAGACAAUUUUGUCAAUACUUACCAAAAUUUCUUCGGACCUUGUGAGGCUAAAAGACAAACAAAUGCAGACGUGAGAUAAAUAAAACAUCUAUUUUAGCAAAAGGAAAUUUACAUACCAAUAGGACAUUCUGACCAGUAAUGAUCCAAAUGCUCCCCUAACGCCCUCGUGAGUGACUUGAACUCCUACACAGAUCGAAGGUACGCGAGGAAUUCAGGGGUUAACGCUAGAAAUUGUACGUACGAUUUCAAGCCAUUGCCAUAUUGGCCAAUCAUGUGCUGGUCCACUUUCCGCUUGAUGGAACGACCAAACUGGAUCACGUUGGCGACUUCGCCUUAAAAAAGACAUCCAAAGUUUAAUUUACGACUUUUUCGAGACAUUUCGCCAGCAAUGUAGGCGCUGUUUACACGAAACCUAAGAUCACUUAUAUGAGGCUAAAUCAUCAACCUUGUGUACGAGUACGAUUGAAUGUGAAUCCAUGAAUGUCUUACUUUGGUCCAUCCCGUCUCCGUCAUCCUUAAAGCAAAGCAUAAAUUUUCCACGGAAUGACUCGGCUGGUUCUACAACACAAGACAAACUACAAUAUGAAUAACUGAUGGGUAGGUAAAUAGUUUUCUAGGGAUAUUGACGUUUCAUCGAUUAACGGGGGAGGGGGGGCUCAAACUUUAAAUUCUUAUAAAUCAUUUAUUUAGGUUUUUGCUUUUAAAAUGUGUUUUAAAAACAAUACACUUAUUCAAUAUCACUAAAACUGCCCAAUAACAAAUGCUGUUUGCCCAACAAUAUUCUCAACUAAAGACAAAUGAUAUUGUUCAGUUUUUGUAAGAUACACUGUUUUUAUAUUUUCUUUUGGAACCCCUUUACAAAUACACAUUAAGUUUAUCAAAAAUUUGUACGAUUCACAUAGCUCUCUCAUAGUCACUCAGUAAGUGAGCAAGUUGAUCCCAUAGCCACUCAGUAAAUCAGCAAGGUGAUCUCAUAGUCACUCAGUAAGUCAGCAAGGUUAUCUCAUAGUCACUCAGUAAAUCAGCAAGGUGAUCUCAUAGUCACUCAGUAAGUGAGCAAGUUGAUCCCAUAGCCACUCAGUAAAUCAGCAAGGUGAUCUCAUAGCCACUCAGUAAGUCAGCAAGGUGAUCCCAUAGCCACUCAGUAAAUCAGCAAGGUGAUCUCAUAGUCACUCAGUAAGUCAGCAAGGUGAUCUCAUAGCCACUCAGUAAAUUAGCAAGGUGAUCUCAUAGUCACUCAGUGAGUCAGCAAGGUGAUCUCAUAGUCACUCAGUAAAUUAGCAAGGUGAUCUCAUAGCCACUCAGUAAAUUAGCAAGGUGAUCUCAUAGUCACUCAGUAAGUCAGCAAGGUGAUCUCAUAGCCACUCAGUAAAUUAGCAAGGUGAUCUCAUAGUCACUCAGUGAGUCAGCAAGGUGAUCUCAUAGUCACUCAGUAAAUUAGCAAGGUGAUCUCAUAGCCACUCAGUAAAUUAGCAAGGUAAUCUCAUAGCCACUCAGUAAAUUAGCAAGGUAAUCUCAUAGUCCCUCAGUAAAUCAACAAGGUGAUCUCAUAGUCCCUCAGUAAGUCAGCAAGGUGAUCUCAUAGCCACUCAGUGGGUCAGCAAGGUGAUCUCAUAGCCACUCACUCAGUGAGUCAGCAAGGUGAUCUCAUAGUCAGUAAGUCAGCAAGGUGAUCUCAUAGUCACUCAGUGAGUC